UUAACUUACCUAAGGGGCAAUGUAGGAGAGGGUUUGGGGCAAAAAGCUGUGAUACAUAUGUUGCAAAGAGAAGGGAGACAUUGAACAAAGCAGCACCCACUAAUUAAAAUAGC